rnacentral:rRNA from 1 species
AGGUCAGGCGGGGUUACCCGCUGAGUUUAAGCAUAUCAA